AUUGAACGCUGGCGGCAUGCCUUACACAUGCAAGUCGAACGGUAACGGGUCUUCGGGUGCCGACGAGUGGCGAACGGGUGAGUAAUACAUCGGAACGUGCCCGAUCGUGGGGGAUAACGAGGCGAAAGCUUUGCUAAUACCGCAUACGAUCUACGGAUGAAAGCAGGGGACCGCAAGGCCUUGCGCGGACGGAGCGGCCGAUGGCAGAUUAGGUAGUUGGUGGGAUAAAAGCUUACCAAGCCGACGAUCUGUAGCUGGUCUGAGAGGAUGAUCAGCCACACUGGGACUGAGACACGGCCCAGACUCCUACGGGAGGCAGCAGUGGGGAAUUUUGGACAAUGGGCGCAAGCCUGAUCCAGCCAUGCCGCGCGCAGGAUGAAGGCCUUCGGGUCGUAAACUGCUUUUGUACGGAACGAAAAGCCUUCUUUUAAUACAGGAGGGUCAUGACGGUACCGUAAGAAUAAGCACCGGCUAACUACGUG
rnacentral:rRNA from 1 species